rnacentral:misc_RNA from 1 species
GUUGAAAUUUUGUAUCGAUUUAAACUUCCAAAUUGUUUGUUCUGCUUGUCAUGAAUAUUUUGUUUUCUUGUAUUACAUUAGGGACGCCAGUAGUGCUUUCCUCCAUGGAUAUUGUCAGAUUUCCAAUCUUGACUUGUACACAUUUUUAGGAUAAUUGGAAUUUGUAAUCGUGUUAUCAUGCUGUGAAUCUUUUACCCUUUCCAUCCCUCCUUUUAUUUCAAGUACAUUGCAGUCAAACAAAAUCUUGAAUGGCAUUAACACCUGAUAAUGGUUGUUAUUCCAGGCUAUCUCAUUAACACCUGACGAGAACAUACAAGCAAGAGACUGAUAAAAUGAAGAAAAUAUUGAUAGAGUUGCAAAAUAUUGCAAGACAAUGAGUGUAACCAUAAAACGCGAGAUCCUAAAUUAUAAAAUGUAGAAUGAAUCAAAUAUACCUAGUCAAAUCAACCAUCCACCUUGUUCACUCUGAAGGAAUCCAUUACUUGACGAAGAUCAUUUUCCUCUUCCACAAAUACAUUUUCUGGUGUUUGUAAUCUCAGCUCAUAUAGCCUGUUAUUUUCAACUCCAAGAACUGAUAGGUACCUCCUAUUCCAUUCCAGACGAACUACUCGAUCUCGUGGCAUGACAGCCAUCUCAUUGUUAUUUGCAUAAGACUUUAUGUUCACCUCAACUUGAUAAUAAAGCUUCCCAUCAUCAGCUACUCUUGAGGAAGUGGAGAGUAAAUUUGACUCACGCCUGACGCCAAGUCUAGUAGACAUAAACUCUGUCAAAUACUGUUUAAGCACUUUCUUUCCAGCUUCUUGGGGAGGACCCAAGUCUUCAACGCUCCUGUAAUUGGAAGAUGAAGGGGAUGACAUCUCCACCGACAGAUUUUCAUCUAAAACAAAAGGAUCCCUGAAGAAUAUGUCAGCCCCUGAGCCUCGAACUUGAAUCCAGUUCUGUGGGUACUUGAAGGAAUACCCAUCAAAGGUAUCAAUGUGCUCCCUGAACCCAAUAGAUGAUUGAGCCAAUGCAGCGUCGUGGAAACCCAUCUCUGAGAAGACACAGCUUGACAAGAUCAAGGCCAUUCCAUCUCUCCUUGUAACUGCAAAAUCUUUAGUCUGAUUAUAUAAGAUCAAAAAAUUGGGUGGUGAGAAGCCAUUAGAAGUGUUUUAAUCAGCUAUGAGGUCACAUUAAAUUGAUAGUAAUUACCGAGUUGUUUUUACAGGAUACGGAGGGGCAGCGAGUGGAAUGGGUGGAGAUGGGCAGAGAGCAGCAGCCGAGCCAACUAGGAAGAACAGCAGAACGAGUUGGAGGGGUGAGCUGAACCGGAGGUGUAAGUGAGUCAAGGAUUGUGGCCAUUUCAGAGAUUUCCAAAGAGAAUCAAGAAGAAGAUAGGCUCGAGGAGGAAAGAUUACAUGGAAAUGAGGAUGAGAUGGAGCAUGGAUUCUCGUGCCAGCGACAGAUUUUAGAAGUUGGGUUGAAUGGGCUAAUG